AUAGAAAAACAAAACAAGUAAAUUUGCAAAUGGAUAAUGAGAGUUUUCUAGAUUUGAUGGCGAGAACAAAUGCAGUGUUUAAUUUAAGUGAAGCUGAUCAUUUAAUCUCUCCACACGAGUCCGAGAGUGAUGAAACUGAUGGUGAAGAUGGAGACAAUCCCAAUUCAGAUUCAGCAAGUUCUGAAGGUGAAGAAGGAGACAAUCCAAGCACAGCAGUCAGCACACAUGUACCUACUGCCCCAUGGUUUUCAACGGAGGCUUUUACCUACAACAAUGUCACUGAUAAUUCAGGAAAUUGUAGAUAAAUAAAGAAAGAAGAGAAAAUGCAAGAAAAAGAAGAAAAAGAAAAAGGGUUGGCAAGUAAAGGACACAUGGAUGGCCACAAUUCUCCCAACACUCAAGGCACAUGGAUGGUCAAGAUGGAGCCACCCUACCCCUAAACCCUAAUUCUUUAGUUAUAAAUACCCCUCUUCUUUUACUUGUAAUCACCAACCUAGCAACCCUAGCCACCUACCCACCUUUUCUACCUAGUCAUUUCUAUAGUUAGUAUCUUAGAUAGAUUUACAUUUUGCUAGCCCCAAUUUCCUUUCCAAGCUUGUAUACACUCUUUAAUUUCUAUGCAAAUCUCUUUUAUCUUAA